CAGCCUUGUACAUUGUUUCAUUACUACGCAAAAUUUUGAUUGCCACUUCUUCUGGUUCACCAUGACCAGCUUUGAGAUCCUUUGCACGGACUACGGUUGAAAAAACACCUUUGCCAUGUGCAGCAGCAAUUUCAUACCGACCAUCAAGCACUUCACCAAAUCGGUAGUUAUAAUAUCCAUCCGCAUCGUCCCAAUUGUCAUGAAGACCACUCCUCUCUAUCUGCAAACCGUCACCUUUGCCCAUUUUACGAACUGCAGCAGGUGUUUCUCCAAAAAUGUCAUCACAGAAUAAUCCGUCUGACCCCUCAGCCUUUGGAGUACCCUCUCCAAGUCCUUUAGUACCAGCAGUUUUAUCCGUCGCAUUUACUCCAUUUUGUUGUGGGGAUUUCUCCACAGCAAAAGAUGAGUCAGUAACACUAUCAUCCACCGCCCCAUCAACCAAUUCUGGAAUAACAUGAGCAGCAGCUUCUGAUUGAGAAGAAUCAUUUGCAGAAUCCUUACCUUUCUCAGAUUCCUUCAAAGAAGGCUCUACUUGUUUCUCUAACUGCUGGCAUUUG
rnacentral:misc_RNA from 1 species